AAUAUGCUCAGCCGUGUUCACUCAUUCAUAGAACUGGAAGUGCAACACAGAGUUAACUUCCUUGGGUUAACUCUUGUCUAAUGAGAGACAGAAGCUGGUAGACAAAUAUUUCUUUCUUCACUGUCUUGCCCUGACAGCCCUGAAGGGCACUCUACAUGGUUUUUUAGAGGACUCCAGUAGGACCCAGCCACAAUGGCCUAUGGAACUGACAGCCUUCCUGGAGAGAUGACGCUUUCUUGAACUGGAGGAAUCAAUUAGUGACAUAUGCAAGAGAAGAGAGCAUGCCACACUUUGGGAGCAGCACGAGUUGAACCAAAGCACAGAGCUAUUGUUCUGGAAAGCACUCCCUAAUAGACAACCUGCAUGCAAGUAUCUGCCUCAGAGUUCAUUUUCUACACAAUUGGGCCUAAGGUCACACACGUUGUUCUGAAGAUGCUUUAAUGUUCUCCACGUGUAGUUGAUGGACGACUGAAGAUUAUCCUUGGAAUCGAGCAUCUCUUCCUAGUGGGACUUUGAAUGAAACCAGAUGGACCGACUGGUAUCUGCAGAGGCCUGAAUAGGAUUCCCCACCAAGUUCAAUAAUCUACAAAACAGCUGAUCCAAAUUCCAGUGCAGAUCCUAACUGCUCGGAGUUUGGGGGACUCAGGAAUGGACCAGCGAUUUGGAAUCUUAUCUUACGACGGGAGUAGCUGAGUGGAAGACAUAACAUAGUCUCUUCCACUCUUACUUAGGUUGUUUUAGUGAAGUGGUCCCUGAGGAAAUGUUCAGUGAUGCAUACAGAAUAAAAUAAAACAAAAAGUCAA
rnacentral:lncRNA from 1 species